UCGAAGGUAGCAUAAUCAGUAGUCUUUUAAUUGAAGGCUGGAAUGAAUGAUUGGACGAGAUAUUAACUGUUUCAUAAAAAUUUUUAAUAAAAUUUUAUUUUUUAGUAAAAAAGCUAAAAUUUAUUUAAAAGACGAGAAGACCCUAUAAAUCUUUAUAUUUUAUUUGUUAUAAUUUUUAGGAUUUUUUUUUAUAUUUUAAUAAAGAAAAAUAUUUAAUUGGGGUGAUAUUAAAAUUUAAUAAACUUUUAAUAAUUAAAAUCAUUAAUUUAUGAUUAAUUGAUCUGUUAAUAACGAUUUUUAAAAAAAGUUACUUUAGGGAUAACAGCGUAAUUUUUUUGGAGAGUUCAUAUCGAUAAAAAAGAUUGCGACCUCGAUGUUGGAUUAA
rnacentral:rRNA from 1 species